CAAAGUUGUUUGAAUUAUGUUUCUUCUAUUUGUGUGCAAUAGCUUUUUUUUAUUGUUUGUACACAAACUCAUGAGCUUUAUUUUCAUGUGGAUACACCAAAGUUAUUCACAAAUUGAGAAAGAAUGAACGCUGCUAUUGGCGUAGGGAGAGAUUGAGAACACAAGGUUAAGAAUCCAAAGGAAGAGGGGCAAGUGGAAAAGUGUUACUCAAACUCUAAAGACAUAUUUUCUGCUUUGAAAGAGAAUGCCGCAGAACUCAGUGGGGGUUUGGACUCCUUGAAGCAUCAGAUAGCAUAUAACCUUCUAUUCUCUCUUGUCAUCGCUUUCAUAUCAGAUCUUUGAGCACAGUACCAAACAAAGCGCCAGUCUUGUCCUAGGAUGCUUCUUUUAGGCAUGAAUUUCAUGAGAUUGUGAUGGUUGCUGGAAAUGAUACUGUAGUUGAAGGCUUUGUUGAUUGUGUAAGGCUUCAAUGGGUUGUACAUUUGAUUAUGGUAGAAGAUGUAAAUGAUGCAAACGAGGCACUGACAAGUACUUUGUCUAAUGAUAUGAAAAGUGUUUGCUCAUGUUUGGACGUCGGUUUUGCCAAUAACGUUUUCUAGUUUUGGCUGGAUAAGAUCUUUCAUACAGCAGCAUAUCAGGUUGGUGAUUAAUCUUUCUGAAAGCUAAUUUGACACCAGAGGUGGUAU